CCUACGGGAGGCAGCAGUAGGGAAUUUUCCGCAAUGGGCGAAAGCCUGACGGAGCAAUACCGCGUGAGGGAAGAAUGCCUACGGGUUGUAAACCUCUUUUUUCAGGGAGGAACAUAAUGACGUGUACCUGAAGAAUAAGCAUCGGCUAACUCCGUGCCAGCAGCCGCGGUAAGACGGAGGAUGCAAGUGUUAUCCGGAAUCACUGGGCGUAAAGCGUCUGUAGGUGGUUUAAUAAGUCAACUGUUAAAUCUUGAGGCUCAACCUCAAAAUCGCAGUCGAAACUAUUAGACUAGAGUAUAGUAGGGGUAAAGGGAAUUUCCAGUGGAGCGGUGAAAUGCGUAGAGAUUGGAAAGAACACCGAUGGCGAAAGCACUUUACUAGGCUAUUACUGACACUCAGAGACGAAAGCUAGGGUAGCAAAUGGGAUUAGAUACCCCAGCAGUCCUAGCUGUAAACUAUGGAUACUAGAUGUUGAACAGAUCGACCUGUGCAGUAUCAAAGCUAACGCGUUAAGUAUCCCGCCUGGGAAGUAUGCUCGCAAGGGUGAAACUCAAAGGAUUGACGGNGNGAGAGNGCGAGACGACGACGAGGGAGAG
rnacentral:rRNA from 1 species